UCGGACUGAGUGGCGGACGGGUGAGUAACGCGUGAGAAUCUGCCUUCAGGAUGGGGAUAACAGUGGGAAACCACUGCUAAUACCCAAUAUGCCGAAAGGUGAAAAUUAUUUUGCCUGAAGAGGAGCUCGCGUCUGAUUAGCUAGUUGGUGGGGUAAAAGCUUACCAAGGCAACGAUCAGUAGCUGGUCUGAGAGGAUGAGCAGCCACACUGGGACUGAGNACACGGCCCAGACUCCUACGGGAGGCAGCAGUGGGGAAUUUUCCGCAAUGGGCGAAAGCCUGACGGAGCAAUACCGCGUGAGGGAGAAGGCCUUUGGGUUGUAAACCUCUUUUCUCAGGGAAGAAGAUCUGACGGUACCUGAGGAAUAAGCAUCGGCUAACUCCGUGCCAGCAGCCGCGGUAAUACGGAGGAUGCAAGCGUUAUCCGGAAUUAUUGGGCGUAAAGCGUCCGCAGGUGGUUUUUCAAGUCUGCUGUCAAAGACCGAAGCUCAACUUCGGAAAGGCAGUGGAAACUGGAAAACUAGAGUUCGGUAGGGGUGGCGGGAAUUCCCAGUGUAGCGGUGAAAUGCGUAGAUAUUGGGAAGAACAUCGGUGGCGAAGGCGCGCUACUGGACCGAAACUGACACUCAGGGACGAAAGCUAGGGGAGCGAAAGGGAUUAGAUACCCCUGUAGUCCAGCUGUAAACGAUGGAAACUAGGUGUGGCUUGUAUCGACCGAGCCGUGCCGUAGCUAACGCGUUAAGUUUCCCGCCUGGGGAGUACGCACGCAAGUGUGAAACUCAAAGGAAUUGACGGGGGCCCGCACAAGCGGUGGAGUAUGUGGUUUAAUUCGAUGCAACGCGAAGAACCUUACCAGGGCUUGACAUGUCCGGAACUUUCCUGAAAGGGAAAGGUGCCUUCGGGAACCGGAACACAGGUGGUGCAUGGCUGUCGUCAGCUCGUGUCGUGAGAUGUUGGGUUAAGUCCCGCAACGAGCGCAACCCUCGUCUUUAGUUGCCAGCAUUAAGGUGGGAACUCUAGAGAGACUGCCGGUGACAAACCGGAGGAAGGUGGGGAUGACGUCAAGUCAGCAUGCCCCUUACGCCCUGGGCUACACACGUACUACAAUGGUUGGGACAAAGGGCAGCGAACCCGCGAGGGAAAGCGAAUCUCAUCAAACCCAGCCUCAGUUCAGAUUGGUCUCUGCAACUCGAGAGCAUGAAGGAGGAAUCGCUAGUAAUCGCAGGUCAGCAUACUGCGGUGAAUUCGUUCCCGGGCCUUGUACACACC
rnacentral:rRNA from 1 species